UCUCUCCCUCCAGCUGGGCCUGAGUCACCCACUCCUGCAUCAAGUGGCCCACCAUCCAGAGGGCCUACGGGAGGCUCUGCGUUGCCAGGCCGUUUCAGGGCCUUUUUGGGGGGUGCGAGGUGUGUUCACUUGGUUGGUGCUGAUGGAGACCUUUUUGAGUUUUGUGGAGCUUCCAUGGAGCUCUUGAGCGGUGCAGGCACAAUCUCCAGACCUAGGCUAACCUCCUACAGUUGUGGGGUUUGGGGGCGAUUGUGCUUUCUGGUGCGCUUGCUCUCUCUCAGCAGGGAACCUGAAGGCCCUUCCCCAGUGUCAGUACCUCUCCCCGCCACAAACAGCUCCAGCGAGGACCUAGAGGUCCAUGGCAGGCUGAGCGUGGUAGUGUGCACCAGCACUCAGUGGUGGUGGGGCCUACCGGUAGCCUGAAAGGCGGAGGUAUUCUUCCUUUUUGGUAAAAAAAACAUGUCGAAUGUUGCUUCAUGAGCGCUUCAUCGAAGAGCGGGGGAGGAGAGGGAGGAAAGAGGAAAAGAAAGCUAACUAAAGCUGCUUUUAAUAACAAGAGUGACAGAAGGCAAUUAAAACAGGAUAAUAGAGGAAGAAGACUCAAAGUAUGGUUAAAAGGUACACAAAAAGACAAGAAGGAACAAAGCAAUGGAGCUAAAGAUUGGCAAUAGGCAAGGGAGACCUUCUCUGGAACCGGUGCAGGACAAACUGAACUAGGAGGAGCUAUCCUUCCAGGCCUCUCAAAGUUUUUCCUUAAUUGAUUUGUCCUGCCCUCUGGAGCAUGUGGGAAGAAUAACCUACAUGAGAUGUCCUCAUCCAGUAGCAGAGAAGAAAAACCUUACUUAAGACUUAGGGACAGAAGGAUCUGUGUGCUCUUAAUGGGAAUUAGUAUGGAGAGGUGAUGAUGAUUAGAAUUUCAGUGUGCUUGCUGCUUCCUCAGGAUUGUGUGUGCCACUUCUGCUGGCAAUAUUUGGGUGAAACAGGAGAAUUCCUUAGUCCAUGGACAUUUGGUGCUGUAGUUCUUGCGUAUACCAAGCGGCCAGUUUUGAAGCGGAUUGGAGAGGAUGCUAAGGAGCGAUCGUGUCCACUACCCUGUCACUCAAGAGAUCCUCCACAAAAUCAAGGAGAAUUGAUGAAUUUGGGUCAUGGUGAUGGUGCAAAGAUCAUGUUCCUAAAGAUGUUGCAAUGGAAAAGAAGAAUCUUCUAAAAAUGUCCUAUGAAGUUUAAAGAGCUUUAUCGUACCUGGAAAACAGCUGAGUGAACUCAGUGCUCUGCUACUGCAAAGCCAACUCUCGUCUAACCUUUUAAAAAAAGUUGUGUGAAUUGCAGGCUAGCCACCAAGAGCCAUUACCAGAGGGUAGGUAUAGCUGCAGUACAUCAGAUCAAGGUUUGUAGUAGUUUUGCACUAAAAGACGACUCUGGUCUGAACACUUUUAUUUUAAUUGUGUGGAACAUCAACCAUCUUUAUAUGACCUUAACAGUUUUCCUUUCUUGAAGCGAAACAAAAUAAUGAAGACCAUAUGCAUUUCUAUUUAAAUUCCAAACAUUUUAUGUUGGCGUGUUUAGUGCAUAACAAUUUUGCAAGGCCAGCCUAAUGUCAGAUUUUUUAUUUCUUGUUGACAGAGAAGUUGCUGGGCCUCAUCCUAGCACUUAUUUACAGCAAUAAUAAGUCUUACAAUGAAACCACAACUAUGUCAAUAAAGACCAAGUCUGUUAUUUUUAAUGUAAAGUAUUAUUACCUUGUCCCAAUAUAUAUUUGUGCACUGAAGAUAUGACAAAAUAUUUGAGGCAACACUUUCAUUACCAUAUCUGUUUCUAAAGUCUAUAGAAGUAACUGGAGUGCAUUCAUUUGUUUUAAUGAAAUCCACUGAGAUUUCAAAGUAGAAUUCUGAUCCUCGAAGCACUAUGGUUACAAUAGCAGUACUAGAUCAAGGAAUGGUUGUUAUUUUUUUCAUAUGUCCAAGAUUUAAAUUUUUACAUUCUCAACAUUAAUAGUUCCAAUAUAAUUUUGAAUUACUAUACUUUUAUUAAUCUCUGCUCUUUUAAAAAAAUGUAGGAGUAUAUAGGUACUGAUGGGCAGCAUUUUCCAUCUCAAUAUUAAUACCAGUUUUCUCAGCCUGUAACAAGGGCCUUAUAGUCCAUCUUGUGCAAAUAUAAAGAUUAAAUUCUCAUAUUCAUUUUAGGUAAGAACACCAGAUAUUUUUUAUCAUCGUGCAAGUGAUCCUCACCAUCCCUGAGUAGCUGCUGACAUCAGAAAUACAAUGUAUGAGCCUGAAAAUGAAAGAUAUUAGCCAUGGCAGCUUCUAUAACCUUGGAUAUAUAUUUCAUGAUCUUUGAGAAACAUGUUACUGCUCUCAAGAACCACAAUCUCCUGGAUCACAUAUUGCAUUUCUUCAUAUGAGCAUGUGCUUUGGGAUGGGUGGCAAUUCUUGCAUGAAUAUAUGUGUGUAUACAAACACACAUAACCGAUUCAAAAUAGUUAACAACUUCCUAUGAUGCUUACAACACGAUGAGAACAAUGAUAAUAAUUUAGUAUUUAACUCAGUAUGGGAAUUAUAGAAAGUUAAGCUGAUCAAAGAGUUAAGUUAAAGAUCUUGAUGUAGAGUCUAUUCCUGUAUGCUAUGUGUUCUGAAAACACCUUAAAUGAACCACAUGAGCAGAUCUUAGCCUUUAUUUAAUGUGUUCUGGAGUAGAAAUCAUUUUGACAUUAAUAACAAAGACCGUACCUAGUUGAUCAUGAGGUGUGCCUUUAAAUAUAACUCUGUA